rnacentral:rRNA from 1 species
CUAGCCGCGGUAAUACGUAGGUGGCAAGCGUUGUCCGGAAUUAUUGGGCGUAAAGGGCUCGCAGGCGGUUUCUUAAGUCUGAUGUGAAAGCCCCCGGCUCAACCGGGGAGGGUCAUUGGAAACUGGGAAACUUGAGUGCAGAAGAGGAGAGUGGAAUUCCACGUGUAGCGGUGAAAUGCGUAGAGAUGUGGAGGAACACCAGUGGCGAAGGCGACUCUCUGGUCUGUAACUGACGCUGAGGAGCGAAAGCGUGGGGAGCGAACAGGAUUAGAUACCCCCGUAGUCCCUGUCUCUUAUACAC